rnacentral:rRNA from 1 species
AGCGAACGCUGGCGGCAGGCUUAACACAUGCAAGUCGAGCGGGCCCUUCGGGGUCAGCGGCAGACGGGUGAGUAACACGUGGGAACGUACCCUUUGGUUCGGAAUAACGCUGGGAAACUAGCGCUAAUACCGGAUACGCCCUUUGGGGGAAAGGCUUGCUGCCGAAGGAUCGGCCCGCGUCUGAUUAGCUAGUUGGUGGGGUAAUGGCCUACCAAGGCGACGAUCAGUAGCUGGUCUGAGAGGAUGAUCAGCCACACUGGGACUGAGACACGGCCCAGACUCCUACGGGAGGCAGCAGUGGGGAAUAUUGGACAAUGGGCGCAAGCCUGAUCCAGCCAUGCCGCGUGAGUGAUGAAGGCCUUAUGGUUGUAAAGCUCUUUUGUCCGGGACGAUAAUGACGGUACCGGAAGAAUAAGCCCCGGCUAACUUCGUG